CCAUGAUCGGGUACCACCAAAACAACCACUCAAUCACAUCACUCGACCCCCUGGUCGAGUAUCAUCACCUCCACCACCUGACCAUCACUCGAUCACAUCACUCGACCACCUGGUCGAGUAACUCUAUCACCUUCACUCGAUCACUCUACCACCAAGUCGAGUACCACCAUCUCUAUCGCUCCCCUUCAUACUCGACUGCCAGCUUCGGAGUCUUCUAUAUUCUGCAUUCAACUAGACACUCGAGCAAAAGGAAGAAAAGAAGACUCCAGCUUACCACUCGACCAUGCACUCG
rnacentral:sRNA from 1 species